rnacentral:rRNA from 1 species
UGGGGAAUUUUGCACAAUGGGGGAAACCCUGAUGCAGCGACGCCGCGUGAUUUAGAAGGCCUUCGGGUUGUAAAAAUCUUUUUUACGGGAUGAAAAUGACAGUACCGUAAGAAUAAGGUCCGGCUAAAUACGUGCCAGCAGCCGCGGUAAUACGUAUGGACCGAGCGUUGUCCGGAAUCAUUGGGCGUAAAGGGUACGUAGGCGGCCUAGUAAGUUAGAAGUGAAAUAAUAUAGCUCAACUAUAUAAAGCUUUUAAAACUGCUAGGCUUGAGAGAUGGAAGGGAAAGUGGAAUUCCUAGUGUGGCGGUGAAAUGCGCAGAUAUUAGGAAGAAUACCGGUGGCGAAGGCGACUUUCUGGUCAUCAUCUGACGCUGAGGUACGAAAGCGUGGGUAGCAAACAAG